UGACCAUAUAGACGAAAUAGA
rnacentral:piRNA from 1 species